rnacentral:rRNA from 1 species
AGAGUUUGAUCCUGGCUCAGGACGAACGCUGGCGGCGUGCCUAAUACAUGCAAGUCGAGCGGACCGAAUAGGAGCUUGCUCUUGUUCGGUUAGCGGCGGACGGGUGAGUAACACGUGGGCAACCUACCCGUAAGACCGGGAUAACUCCGGGAAACCGGAGCUAAUACCGGAUAACACCGAAGACCGCAUGGUCUUCGGUUGAAAGGCGGCUUUGGCUGUCACUUACGGAUGGGCCCGCGGCGCAUUAGCUAGUUGGUGAGGUAACGGCUCACCAAGGCGACGAUGCGUAGCCGGCCUGAGAGGGUGACCGGCCACACUGGGACUGAGACACGGCCCAGACUCCUACGGGAGGCAGCAGUAGGGAAUCUUCCGCAAUGGACGAAAGUCUGACGGAGCGACGCCGCGUGAGCGAAGAAGGUCUUCGGAUCGUAAAGCUCUGUUGUUAGGGAAGAAGAAGUACCGUUCGAAUAGGGCGGUACGGUGACGGUACCUAACGAGAAAGCCCCGGCUAACUACGUGCCAGCAGCCGCGGUAAUACGUAGGGGGCGAGCGUUGUCCGGAAUUAUUGGGCGUAAAGCGCGCGCAGGCGGUCCCUUAAGUCUGAUGUGAAAGCCCACGGCUCAACCGUGGAGGGUCAUUGGAAACUGGGGGACUUGAGUGCAGAAGAGGAGAGCGGAAUUCCACGUGUAGCGGUGAAAUGCGUAGAGAUGUGGAGGAACACCAGUGGCGAAGGCGGCUCUCUGGUCUGUAACUGACGCUGAGGCGCGAAAGCGUGGGGAGCAAACAGGAUUAGAUACCCCGGUAGUCC